AACGUAGGAGACAAACGUUAUCCGGAGUUACUGGGCGUAAAGGGCGUGUAGGUGGUAAUGUAAGUCUGGCGUGAAAUUUUUCGGCUUAACCGGGAAAGGUCGUCGGAGACUGCAUAACUAGAGGACGGUAGAGGCGUGUGGAAUUCCGGGUGUAGUGGUGAAAUGCGUAGAGAUCCGGAGGAAACAUCAGUGGCGAAGGCGACACGCUGGGCCGUACCUGACACUGAUGCGCGACAGCAUGGGGAGCAAACAGG
rnacentral:rRNA from 1 species